CGUUAAUCGGAAUUACUGGGCGUAAAGCGCGCGUAGGUGGUUAGGUAAGCGAGAUGUGAAAGCCCCGGGCUUAACCUGGGAACGGCAUUUCGAACUGUCUGACUAGAGUAUGGUAGAGGGUAGUGGAAUUUCCUGUGUAGCGGUGAAAUGCGUAGAUAUAGGAAGGAACACCAGUGGCGAAGGCGGCUACCUGGACCAAUACUGACACUGAGGUGCGAAAGCGUGGGGAGCAAACAGGAUUAGAUACCCUGGUAGUCCACGCCGUAAACGAUGUCAACUAGCCGUUGGGGAUCUUGAAUCCUUAGUGGCGCAGCUAACGCACUAAGUUGACCGCCUGGGGAGUACGGCCGCAAGGUUAAAACUCAAAUGAAUUGACGGGGGCCCGCACAAGCGGUGGAGCAUGUGGUUUAAUUCGACGCAACGCGAAGAACCUUACCUGGCCUUGACAUCCUGCGAACUUUCUAGAGAUAGAUUGGUGCCUUCGGGAACGCAGUGACAGGUGCUGCAUGGCCGUCGUCAGCUCGUGUCGUGAGAUGUUGGGUUAAGUCCCGUAACGAGCGCAACCCUUAUCCUUAGUUGCUAGCAGUUCGGCUGAGAACUCUAGGGAGACUGCCGGUGACAAACCGGAGGAAGGUGGGGAUGACGUCAGGUCAUCAUGGCCCUUACGGCCAGGGCUACACACGUGCUACAAUGGUGCGCACAGAGGGCUGCAAACUCGCGAGAGUAAGCCAAUCUCUUAAAACGCAUCGUAGUCCGGAUCGCAGUCUGCAACUCGACUGCGUGAAGUCGGAAUCGCUAGUAAUCGCGAAUCAGAAUGUCGCGGUGAAUACGUUCCCGGGCCUUGUACACACCGCCCGUCACACCAUGGGAGUGGAUUGCGCCAGAAG
rnacentral:rRNA from 1 species